rnacentral:rRNA from 1 species
AUACGAAGGGGGCUAGCGUUGUUCGGAAUUACUGGGCGUAAAGCGCGCGCAGGCGGUCUUCCAAGUCAGUGGUGAAAGCCCGGAGCUCAACUCCGGAACUGCCAUUGAAACUGUGAGACUUGAGGAUGAGAGAGGUGAGUGGAAUUCCCAGUGUAGAGGUGAAAUUCGUAGAUAUUGGGAAGAACACCGGUGGCGAAGGCGGCUCACUGGCUCAUUUCUGACGCUCAGGCGCGACAGCGUGGGGAUCAAACAGGA